UGUGUGUGUGUGUGUGUGGUUGGUCGUGGUGAUGUCAUUUCGCUUAUGUCUUCAUGAAGUGUGAUCAAAAAUGCAGUGAGUGCUGCUGCCCAGUGAAAUCCAACAGAAAGGCAGGCUCGCAAAUCAUAGAGUCCGCCCUCACACUCCUUAUCCACCAGAUCUGCCAUUGCACAACUGCUGGCUCUUCCCCAAAGCCAAAAUGACCAUGCAAGGUAAUGACCGAGGACAUCAAGGCCUCCACAACGGCUUGGCUUCUGACAUGGCUGAAAUACCAUCAUGCAGGGUAGGGCGGUGUCUCCUUGGCUCAUGAAGUGAUAUGGCCUUAUCAGGAACAUGUGCUUAAUGGAAUUCACAAGUGGAGACUUUGGCAUAGCACCAGACAACACAAUCGAUCUACAGUCUGAAAAGAUUGACCUGCCUCCUGUGACCAAGUCAUCCACUCAGCGUGGCUUUCGCACCUGCCACUGGCAAAAGAGCAGGUAGUCUGCAUCCUCCGCAGGACAUGACAGUCCUUUCAAUGAAACCAUCACAGAGCUCAAUAUUGGUGUGAAUCGCAGACAAUCAAGAAUGUGACAGUUUAAAGCUUGCCUUCUAAAAAUGAUCCACCCCG
rnacentral:lncRNA from 1 species